UACGGAGGGUGCGAGCGUUGUCCGGAAUCACUGGGCGUAAAGGGCGCGUAGGUGGCUCACGCAAGCGUGCGGUGAAAGCCCGGGGCUCAACCCCGGGUCGGCCGUGCGGACUGCGGGGCUCGAGCACUGUAGGGGCAGAUGGAAUUCCGGGUGUAGCGGUGGAAUGCGUAGAGAUCCGGAAGAACACCGGUGGCGAAGGCGGUCUGCUGGGCAGUUGCUGGACA
rnacentral:rRNA from 1 species